rnacentral:rRNA from 1 species
GUUGUAUAGUCAAGUAAUUAAGUGCAUGUGGUGGAUGCCUUGGCAGUCAGAGGCGAUGAAAGACGUGAUAGCCUGCGAAAAGCUCCGGGGAGGCGGCAAAUAUCCUUUGAUCCGGAGAUGUCUGAAUGGGGGAACCCACCUACUUUAAGGUAGGUAUUGCAACAUGAAUACAUAGUGUUGCAAGGCGAACGAGGGGAAGUGAAACAUCUCAGUACCCUUAGGAAAAGAAAUCAAUUGAGAUUCCCUCAGUAGCGGCGAGCGAACGGGGAUCAGCCCAUUAAGUUAUGUGUGUUUUAGUGGAACGCUCUGGGAAGUGCGAACGUAGAGGGUGAUAUUCCCGUACACGAAAGGGCACACAUAAUGAUGACGAGUAGGGCGAGGCACGUGAAACCUUGUCUGAAUAUGGGGGGACCAUCCUCCAAGGCUAAAUACUCCUGACUGACCGAUAGUGAACCAGUACCGUGAGGGAAAGGCGAAAAGAACCCCUGUGAGGGGAGUGAAAUAGAUCCUGAAACCGCAUGCAUACAAGCAGUGGGAGCACCUUCGUGGUGUGACUGCGUACCUUUUGUAUAAUGGGUCAGCGACUUAUAUUCAGUAGCGAGGUUAACCGUAUAGGGGAGCCGUAGAGAAAUCGAGUCUUAAUAGGGCGUUUAGUUGCUGGGUAUAGACCCGAAACCAGGCGAUCUAUCCAUGAGCAGGUUGAAGGUUGGGUAACACUAACUGGAGGACCGAACCCACUGUCGUUGAAAAGCCAGGGGAUGACUUGUGGAUAGGGGUGAAAGGCUAAUCAAGCCUGGUGAUAGCUGGUUCUCCCCGAAAGCUAUUUAGGUAGCGCCUCGGACGAAUACCAUAGGGGGUAGAGCACUGUUUCGGCUAGGGGGUCAUCCCGACUUACCAAACCGAUGCAAACUCCGAAUACCUAUGAGUACUAUCCGGGAGACAGACUGCGGGUGCUAACGUCCGUAGUCAAGAGGAAAACAAUCCAGACCGCCAGCUAAGGCCCCAAAAUCAUAGUUAAGUGGGAAACGAUGUGGGAAGGCAUAGACAGCUAGGAGGUUGGCUUAGAAGCAGCCACCCUUUAAAGAAAGCGUAAUAGCUCACUAGUCGAGUCGGCCUGCGCGGAAGAUGUAACGGGGCUAAAACUAUGUGCCGAAGCUGCGGAUNNNNNNNNNNNNNNNNNNNNNNNNNNNNNNNNNNNNNNNNNAUGCUGGAGGUAUCAGAAGUGCGAAUGCUGACGUGAGUAACGACAAAACGGGUGAAAAACCCGUUCGCCGAAAGACCAAGGGUUCCAGUCCAACGUUAAUCGGGGCUGGGUGAGUCGACCCCUAAGGCGAGGCCGAAAGGCGUAGUCGAUGGGAAAAUGGUUAAUAUUCCAUUACUUCUGUGUAAUGCGAUGAGAGGACGGAGAAGGCUAAAUCAGCCUGGCGUUGGUUGUCCAGGUGAAAGGAUGUAGGCAUGUAUCUUAGGCAAAUCCGGGGUACUCUAUGCUGAGAUCUGAUAGCAAGCUGUACUUGUACAGCGAAGUGGUUGAUGCCAUGCUUCCAGGAAAAGUCUCUAAGCUUCAGUUACACAGGAAUCGUACCCGAAACCGACACAGGUGGUCAGGUCGAGUAGACCAAGGCGCUUGAGAGAACUCUGCUGAAGGAACUAGGCAAAAUGGUACCGUAACUUCGGGAGAAGGUACGCUGUUGUUGGUGAUGGAACUCGCUUCCUGAGCUGACGACAGCCGCAGAAACCAGGCCGCUGCAACUGUUUAUUAAAAACAUAGCACUCUGCAAACACGAAAGUGGACGUAUAGGGUGUGAUGCCUGCCCGGUGCUGGAAGGUUAAUUGAUGGGGUUAGCGUAAGCGAAGCUCUUGAUCGAAGCCCCAGUAAACGGCGGCCGUAACUAUAACGGUCCUAAGGUAGCGAAAUUCCUUGUCGGGUAAGUUCCGACCUGCACGAAUGGCAUAAUGAUGGCGGCGCUGUCUCCAGCAGAGGCUCAGUGAAAUCGAAAUCGCUGUGAAGAUGCAGUGUACCCGCGGCUAGACGGAAAGACCCCGUGAACCUUUACUGCAGCUUGACACUGAACUUUGACCUUACUUGUGUAGGAUAGGUGGGAGGCUUUGAAGCUGGAACGCUAGUUCCAGUGGAGCCGUCCUUGAAAUACCACCCUGGUAAUGUUGAGGUUCUAACUCUGUCCCGUGAUCCGGGACGAGGACCGUGUCUGGUGGGUAGUUUGACUGGGGCGGUCUCCUCCUAAAGAGUAACGGAGGAGUACGAAGGUGCGCUCAGCGUGGUCGGAAAUCACGCGUAGAGUAUAAAGGCAAAAGCGCGCUUAACUGCGAGACCCACAAGUCGAGCAGGUACGAAAGUAGGUCUUAGUGAUCCGGUGGUUCUGUAUGGAAGGGCCAUCGCUCAACGGAUAAAAGGUACUCUGGGGAUAACAGGCUGAUACCGCCCAAGAGUUCAUAUCGACGGCGGUGUUUGGCACCUCGAUGUCGGCUCAUCUCAUCCUGGGGCUGAAGCAGGUCCCAAGGGUAUGGCUGUUCGCCAUUUAAAGAGGUACGCGAGCUGGGUUUAGAACGUCGUGAGACAGUUCGGUCCCUAUCUACCGUGGGCGCUGGAAAUUUGAGAGGAUCUGCUCCUAGUACGAGAGGACCAGAGUGGACGAACCUCUGGUGUACCGGUUGUGACGCCAGUCGCAUCGCCGGGUAGCUAUGUUCGGAAGGGAUAACCGCUGAAAGCAUCUAAGCGGGAAGCCUACCUCAAGAUAAGAUUUCCCUAGGACUUUAUGUCCUCUAAAGAGCCGUUCGAGACUAGGACGUUGAUAGGUUGGAUGUGGAAGCAUAGUGAUAUGUGAAGCUGACCAAUACUAAUUGCUCGUGAGGCUUGACUAUACAACACCCAAGCAGUUG